rnacentral:rRNA from 1 species
CCUACGGGCGGCAGCAGUGGGGAAUAUUGGGCAAUGGGCGCAAGCCUGACCCAGCAACGCCGGGUGAAGGAAGAAGGCUUUCGGGUUGUAAACUUCUUUUAAGAGGGAAGAGCAGAAGACGGUACCUCUUGAAUAAGCCACGGCUAACUACGUGCCAGCAGCCGCGGUAAUACGUAGGUGGCAAGCGUUGUCCGGAUUUACUGGGUGUAAAGGGCGUGUAGCCGGGCUGACAAGUCAGAUGUGAAAUCCCGUGGCUCAACCACGGAACUGCAUUUGAAACUGUCGGUCUUGAGUAUCGGAGAGGCAGGCGGAAUUCCUAGUGUAGCGGUGAAAUGCGUAGAUAUUAGGAGGAACACCAGAGGCGAAGGCGGCUAACUGGACUGUAACUGACGUUGAGGCUCGAAAGCGUGGGGAGCAAACAGGAUUAGAUACCCGGGUAGUC